AUUGAACGCUGGCGGCAUGCCUAACACAUGCAAGUCGAGCGGAUGAAGGGAGCUUGCUCCUGGAUUCAGCGGCGGACGGGUGAGUAAGUCCUAGGAAUCUACCUGGUAGUUGGGGAUAACGUCAGGAAACGGGCGCUAAUACCGCAUACGUCCUUAGUUAGAAAGUGGGGGAUCUUCGGACCUCACGCUAUCAGAUGACCCUAGGUCGGAUUAGCUAGUUGGUGGGGUAAAGGCCUACCAAGGCGACGAUCCGUAACUGGUCUGAGAGGAUGAUCAGUCACACUGGAACUGAGACACGGUCCAGACUCCUACGGGAGGCAGCAGUAGGGAAUAUUGGACAAUGGGCGAAAGCCUGAUCCAGCCAUGCCGCGUGUGUGAAGAAGGUCUUCGGAUUGUAAAGCACUUUAAGUUGGGAGGAAGAGAAGUAAGUUAAUACCUUGAUGUUUUGACGUUACCAACAGAAUAAGCCCCGGCUAACUUCGUG
rnacentral:rRNA from 1 species